AACGUAGGACGCAAGCGUUAUCCGGAGUACUGGGCGUAAAGCGCGGGCAGGCGGUUCUGCCAGUCUGAUGUGAAAUCUCUCAGCUCAACUGGGAGCAGCCAUUGGAAACUACAGAACUGGAGUCUGGCAGAGGUAGGCGGAAUUCCGGGUGGAGCGGUGAAAUGCGUUGAUAUCCUAAGGAACACCGGUGGCGAAAGCGGCGUACUGGGUCUUAUCUGACGCUGAGGCACGAAAGCUAGGGGAGCGAACGGG
rnacentral:rRNA from 1 species